rnacentral:misc_RNA from 1 species
UACGGAAAGCAACGAGACGCGGCGAUCGCUGAUGGAUCUCCAUGGAGACCGUUGCUACUUCCGUUAUUCACAAACGACGCCAUUUUGAUUGUUGCUGCUGCACUUUGUUUCCACGUCUGUGUUUGCAUUUUGCUCAUUAUCCCGCACGUAUCGCACGUUCUUCACGAUGUAUGCCACUGUUGCUUUGGUUUAUCAUCAAGUUCAGAUACAUCAAUUGUGGGAGGGAAACGGACAAGUACCGGAUUCCAGAGCCACGUUGUGACAGACAAUGCCGAGCGACUGAUGUUUCCAGUACAGUUGACAGCUAGUAUCGUGUCCCGCGAUCUCGAGACACUGUACAAGAUUUUUCAGUUCAGUGAUUAAUUAAUAAACUCGUUAUUAAACUUUA